GUGCGAUAUGAUCGAUGACAAAGUUCGAUUGAAACGGCGGACGGUCGAUGAACCGAAAAUCGCGAUACAAUCGAUUGUUUUUAAAACACAGAUUCGAUAUUGUUAAGUUUGCAAGCAUCGUGAUGUUCGGCCAGUAAGCAUGGGGGACGGCGAAUACGAGUGACAGCACACACAGAGACUAACCAUAACCAAGCAACCUUAUAUUCCUGUGUAUUGUUGCUACACAGCAUCUCUUCUACGUCUUCAACGUCUCUUCUAAAACAUGGUUGAAACGAUAAUCGUUAUAUCGAUGCGAGAAAGGGUGACAGGUCCACGGAAUAAUAGUAGAAUCACAAAAAACGAUCCGAUCGAUUUGGGUUUUAUUUUGAUAAGAAAAAUCGUACGAGACGAGAUUGUACAUGUUGAAACAGCGUUUAAAGUCGAAAUCGGCUGCAACGAUCCAAAACCAGAUGGAUAAGUGUAAAAUUAGGUGGUUCCUUUUUCGGUUUAUGGUACAGGGGCGGGGGCAGCUUGAUUUUCGGUUGAAACAACGACCAACGUGCUUUCCAAAACUGCCGGCAUGGGCUCGUGUUCCGUCGAUUCUUUCGAUUCUUCAACGUGUUUCUCGACUUUUUCACAGUAAAGAUCUCGAUACUUUCGUCUGACCGCUUCCCAAUCGACGACAUUAUCGAUUCUUACAGCGUUACUGAACGACAGCUGACUACCAAGAGGGCUCAAGUGAACAACCGAUAGGGCGACGCUGUCCUUGUGUGCCACCUGUGUCUUUUUCACUUUCGACAACCACUUGGCGCCCAUUCUGGAACGCGGGGAAAGGGCGCCGGUUCUCUGCAUUCCCAUCAAACGGACGAGGGAGGGUCGUUGUUUAUUCGCAGCGCGUUUCUUGCAGAGUUUGAACAAGUACGCCAACCAGGUGGUAAGAAGAUUCAGCGGAGAUGGCGCUGUGCUUGUCCUGCGCAUCGAUAAACGUGUUUCCGAUCAAUUAGACAUUUUUCACGAAGGAUCGACGUUAACGAACGAGUAAUCGAUAAAUACCAGUUUGAUCUCGAUUCGAUUCUCGAGAAAUAUGCUAUACAAGAACAGUCCAUAUUUUUCUUUUUUUUUUACUUUUUAAUGUUGAGCAACGAUUAUAAAUCCUUACCUGUGCAUGUUCCUAACGAGCUUACUCAAUCCAUACUUCCACUCGAUGUCGGACUGUGCCUGUAUCCGUUGGUAAGUGUCGCUCAUCAUGGCAAUUAGUAGAUUAAUCAGCACGACCACCGAAACCAGCAUAUAAAUACCGAAGGUGAGCUUGAAGAGAACUCUGGUCCAUUCGGGCUGCAUUAUUUCGACCUUGAAUUGUUCGUGGGUCGUCUGACCGAAGAUGGCGAAGAACAAUAACUCAACGGCCAGUACGGGACUCAUCCUGACUGGAAAUUACGUGGGAACGACAUAUGUCUCGUGAAAACUCUUGUGUAUCCCGUUCAUGGUUUUCUUGUUAUGCGAUCUGUUUGUAUGCUCGUUCCCAGCCAACGCUAGAUAUUUCUUUCUGAUGGAAUCCCAAUCGACUACGCUUUCGAUUCUGGUUGCGCUAUUGAAGGACAAUUGACUACCGAGAGGACUCAAGUGUACCACCGACAAGCGCAAACACUCGCGGUACGCAUCGAGGAUCUACAUAAGCCAAGUGUGUGUUAUAUCGAUCAUCCGGACUUUGCGCGGCUUUUCCGCGUGAUCUUCUCUAUACCCGGAUUCUCUCAACUCACGGGAUUCACAAUCGGUGGAUCUUGCGACGAGCCGCGCGAGCGAACACGUGUACGUAACGAAGAAAGGAGUACUAUGUACCGUGCGCAUGCAAGGACCAAGAUCGGACGCUUCGUUGCUUUCCGGAAACACGGUGACGAGAGGAGAACAGGCGAAGCGAUCGUAGUCGAAGAAACAAGGAUACGAAGGGGGAAUAGAAGAUUCUGACGGUAGCAAGGAACUAUCGAGGAUGAGGAAAUCGUAAAACGGAGAUCGAGACGAAAGGGGGUGGUUCUUUAUCGCCCCUUGACCGAGCAGUACCUCGACCAUCUGGUAAUGACCGUGCGUCGCGGCGAUAUGUAGACCGGUUUUGCCGUACCGAUCCGAGCUGUGCAAUAACUCUGCCGAUCUGCUCAACAGAAGACCGACCACCGUGAUGUG